rnacentral:rRNA from 1 species
CCUACGGGAGGCAGCAGUGAGGAAUCUUGGUCAAUGGGCGCGAGCCUGAACCAGCCACGUAGCGUGAAGGAUGACUGCCCUACGGGUUGUAAACUUCUUUUAUACAGGAAUAAAGUGAGGCACGUAUGCCUUUUUGUAUGUACUUUAUGAAUAAGGAUCGGCUAACUCCGGGCCAUCAGCCGCGGUAAUACGGAGGAUCCGAGCGUUAUCCGGAUUUAUUGGGUUUAAAGGGAGCGUAGAUGGGUUGUUAAGUCAGUUGUGAAAGUUUGCGGCUCAACCGUAAAAUUGCAAUUGAUACUGGCAGUCUUGAGUACAGUUGAGGUAGGCGGAAUUCGUGGUGUAGCGGUGAAAUGCUUAGAGAUCACGAAGAACUCCGAUUGCGAAGGCAGCUUACUAAACUGCCACUGACAUUGAUGCUCGAAAGUGUGGGUAUCAAACAGGAUUAGAUACCCGAGUAGUC